UACGGGGGGAGCAAGCGUUGUUCGGAUUUACUGGGCGUAAAGGGCGCGUAGGCGGCCACCGCAAGUCGACUGUGAAAUCUCCGGGCUUAACCCGGAAAGGUCAGCCGAUACUGCGGGGCUAGAGUGCAGAAGGGGCAACUGGAAUUCUCGGUGUAGCGGUGAAAUGCGUAGAUAUCGAGAGGAACACCUGCGGCGAAGGCGGGUUGCUGGGCUGACACUGACGCUGAUGCGCGAAGGCCAGGGGAGCAAACGGG
rnacentral:rRNA from 1 species